rnacentral:rRNA from 1 species
UACGAAGGGUGCUAGCGUUGUUCGGAAUUACUGGGCGUAAAGCGCAUGUAGGCGGAUCUAUAAGUCAGAGGUGAAAUCCCCGGGCUCAACCCUGGAAUUGCCUUUGAUACUGUAGAUCUGGAGUCUGGGAGAGGUGAGUGGAAUUCCGAGUGUAGAGGUGAAAUUCGUAGAUAUUCGGAGGAACACCAGUGGCGAAGGCGGCUCACUGGCCCGAGACUGACGCUGAGAUGCGAAAGCGUGGGGAGCAAACAGG